CCUCCCUAACCCAAUCUGGCCAAUCAUCGCCGCGCUCUGCUGCUUCCUCGUGGAAACACGACGCACACCAGAUCGUACAUGCGAGGAUACUAUACGGAUACCUGUACUUUACCGGGGUUUAAUUUACAGAGACGAACCAGAACCAGUACCGCUCGUGAUCAUACAUACUGUGCGUCUUAUCUCAACAAUAAAUAGAAGAAGAUUGUAUUGUUGGUUAGAAACAAAUCUGGUGCGUUGGAUCUUGAUCUAACGUUGGACGGUACGAGACGAGCAAUUUUAUCGUUCUCUGAUAGAUACCAAAUUUACGUAGAAAAUAAUAUCCGGAUAUAUUUUUAACAGAGACCGUAAAAUUGCUCACGUGAGAUAGCCGUGUCACUUGCUCGCUUUGAUCGAUGAUACUACUCCUAACAAGUCACUCGUAUCUCACAUGGGAUUCACGUACUAGUUCGAUCUAACUACGGCAGUUAAAUUUGUCCAUGUGGAGCUCCUGGGAUAGGGUACAGCCGGUGCAAGUUGGAUCGAAGUGCUCCUUAUUUUUCCCUCCUUGCAAGCUAGGCGUUCAGCCAUGAAUGGUCCAUGUGCCUCACUUGAAAAUAGAAAACAUAGACGAUGGCUUUGUUUGGGUACUUAGUUAAUUAGUAGUUUCGAUCUUAUACUAGUAUAAAUGCUGUCAGUGGCUCAUGCACGGUAUCUCCCUUAAUUUACACAGCUCUAAUUUUUUGAUAUCUCUGCCUGACACAAAUGGUGCUGCACAUUACUUUCGCCAUGGAUAUUAUUGUAAUGCUAGCUGCCAGUAUGAUUAACUGAGUACAGCAAGCACGAAAGAUGCGGGCAUCGAUCGAUCCAUACUAGUACUAGAUUUUUUUUGGCCCGGCUACUGAGAAGUGGUCCCCGUGUUUGUGUGAGAGCUGGAGCUUUUCUUCUUGUUUAUUCUCGCGAAUAGAAAUACGUUCCCACGUGCAGAAAUCUCCGCAUCACUGAUUUGAGAUGUUGAUUAUGAUGUGCUCCAAGACCUGUUUCCUUUUGUCCAAACGGGAGGAGGAAAUUAAAAAGGUAUCUAGAACGCUAUUUUGGCCUCCUUUUCAGGGGGCUCACUAACUCCUGGACCAAUAAUACAAUUUUGGCGCAGCAAGCUUCUUCGAUAUGAAACUGUGUUUUAGCUGGAAACACUAUCCUCAAGAUUAUUUAUUGGCUUUUAUGCUCAUACUUUAUGAACAGUUGAAAAUAUAUUUUUCAAAAAUAUAUGUAGAAAUUAUGUUGUAUAUUUCAUUAAAUAACUAUAAAAAUAAUAUUUAAUCUGAUAAAGAAAACAAAGCUUUUUUUUAGAACAAAAGAAAACAAAGCUAUAGUGAAUUGUGUGUUCAGAUUAAGUGACGCUUCGGCCUUUUUAGCAGUACUACUAACAGCAGUACACGUUCACUGCUAGAUGACGAUCUCACAUUUUCAUAUUUGUUUAUGCUUAGAAAGCUAAAUUUGAAUAUUUAAUCUUAAAUUAAGAGUUAAUUUUGAGAUUUUUUAUUAUAGUUUAUUUUUAACUUUGGGUUUUAGAUAGGUAAGGUUUUAGAUAGGUAAGAACACAUAUUUUUGUUUAAAAAAUAUCGUUUGACUUUUUC
rnacentral:lncRNA from 1 species